ACCUGAGGACAAGUCUGGUGCCAGCAGCCGCGGUAAUUCCAGCUCCGG
rnacentral:ncRNA from 1 species